GUUGUGCCCUUGAGGCGUGGCUUCCGGAGCUAACGCGUUAAAUCGACCGCCUGGGGAGUACGGCCGCAAGGUUAAAACUCAAAUGAAUUGACGGGGGCCCGCACAAGCGGUGGAGCAUGUGGUUUAAUUCGAUGCAACGCGAAGAACCUUACCUACUCUUGACAUCCAGAGAAUUUAGCAGAGAUGCUUUAGUGCCUUCGGGAACUCUGAGACAGGUGCUGCAUGGCUGUCGUCAGCUCGUGUUGUGAAAUGUUGGGUUAAGUCCCGCAACGAGCGCAACCCUUAUCCUUUGUUGCCAGCGAUUCGGUCGGGAACUCAAAGGAGACUGCCGGUGAUAAACCGGAGGAAGGUGGGGAUGACGUCAAGUCAUCAUGGCCCUUACGAGUAGGGCUACACACGUGCUACAAUGGCGUAUACAAAGAGAAGCGACCUCGCGAGAGCAAGCGGAACUCAUAAAGUACGUCGUAGUCCGGAUUGGAGUCUGCAACUCGACUCCAUGAAGUCGGAAUCGCUAGUAAUCGUAGAUCAGAAUGCUACGGUGAAUACGUUCCCGGGCCUUGUACACACCGCCCGUCACACCAUGGGAGUGGGUUGCAAAAGAAGUAGGUAGCUUAACCUUCGGGAGGGCGCUUACCACUUUGUGAUUCAWGACUGGGGUGAAGUC
rnacentral:rRNA from 1 species